CCUACGGUUGGCUCCUCUUAAAUGAAUCAGCUUGCCAGUGUUUGGUGGCGUCACAGGUGUGAUAAAUAUCUACGCUUGUGGUUUUCCGCCAGGUAACCUUCAGCAAUGGAGGUUCGCUGGGGCUCACAAAUGUCUCUCCUCAGCGAGGACAGCUUUUAACGUUUGAUCUCAAAUCAGGUAGGACUACCCGCUGAACUUAA
rnacentral:misc_RNA from 1 species